GGGGGCGUAGCUCAGUGGUAGAGCAACGAAAUACCCACACCACCCCUUGUCCGUUUCCUACGGGCCGAAGGCCGUGGGUUACCUUAGCACGUUGGUCACAGGUUCGAUCCCUGUCGCCCCCU
rnacentral:tRNA from 1 species